rnacentral:lncRNA from 1 species
UUAGAGAGGUUUUCUUAGUAAUCUAGGGUAAAAUAUCUUCAGGUUGUCUGGUUUUAACUAUGAAGAUAUGCAGAAAGCAGAAAAUAUAGCAUCAAUGAAAUAGAAUUCACUCAAAUGAGCACUUACUCAGUGAUCUAGGAAGGAUGAAUGCUGUGCCUUUAUUGGAUUCCAUCUGGAUAUCAGGGCACUACAGUAAAUCAAUAUUUUUAUACCAAAAGAUCAACCACAAACCAAACCCAAGGAAUACUAAUUCAUUGGAAAAUGCUCCUUUGAAGGAAUGGGAAGACAGCUGGGCAGGUGACAGCAGCAUUGAGACUGAAGGGAUGUCACAGUGUCUUCCUCUGCCUGAGAGCAUCAGGUCAGGUUCACUUUCUGAAUCAGAUCAUAUUUCCAAGGAUGUGGGUAAGGAAUGAGUUUCCUAGAUCAUUCUGUUUCUCAGUCUUUCCAGUCCUGAAGACUUUGUCUAUAGCACAUGAGUCUACUUCAUGGAAGUAAUAAUUUAACAUUUUUCUGCAUAGCAUUUUGAUCUGCUCAGGCUGGAAUCCGUACAGAGAAAAAAGUUGAAUGUGUCUCGUGUCUGCCAAUGUGGAUGUAUGGAGAUAGUAACACUGUUUCUUCUUCUGUGAUUCUAUGAUUCUUAGACUGAAAUUUCUUUUUUCUUUUUUUUUUUUUCCUUUCUUCUUCUUCACCCCCCCCCCCCCCCCCCCCCCAUCCCCCUCCCUUCCUUUUAACUCUUAACAGUUUUUUGCUAUGGUGAGAGCUGUCUUCAAAGUGCAGAUGAGUUUCACCCAUGCUGUCAGUGUGGCUUUAUCCUCAGCUCCCUUUGAAUUAUAUGCUUGUGAUUCUGGUAAUAAUUUUCUGGCCUCUGAAUCACAACAUUAAAGCAAUUCUAUCUGCUUGGACUCUUUUAAUGUUAAUAUCGUCUAUAUUUAGCUUCUACUAUAAACAUAAAUAAAGUAAUAACAAUCAAUAUCA